rnacentral:rRNA from 1 species
CUGGCUCAGGACGAACGCUGGCGGCGUGCCUAAUACAUGCAAGUCGAGCGGACUUCUGGGAGCUUGCUCCCGGAAGUCAGCGGCGGACGGGUGAGUAACACGUGGGCAACCUGCCUGUAAGACUGGGAUAACUUCGGGAAACCGGAGCUAAUACCGGAUAAUUCUUUCCCUCACAUGAGGGAAAGCUGAAAGAUGGUUUCGGCUAUCACUUACAGAUGGGCCCGCGGCGCAUUAGCUAGUUGGUGAGGUAACGGCUCACCAAGGCAACGAUGCGUAGCCGACCUGAGAGGGUG